AUAGGGCUGUUUAUUUGUGGGACUGCCUGCCCCCAAAUAAUUUUGUCUACCCUACUGGAUUUGAGAGAGCUGGCAGACUCCGUGUCUCUUCUUUGAAGGAAUGUGUUAUAACAUUUGUUAUAACAUGUGUCCUAUAAAAGUUUAUAUCCCUCCAUUCCAAGAAAUUCAGAGAAUCUCAACCUUAUUGACUUGUCAAAGUGUACUGAAUACCUGCCUGUUCGAGUGGGCAUUGGACCAAGCUAUUCAGUGAGUUCUAUUCAUCUUAACGGACACUUUGUAGAACUUGAAGAACCAAAUAAAAGACUUCCUGUGGCUCUGCUGGUUGUUGAGGAUGGUCUUUUUAGACCGCCAGACCUGGAUCGCGUAGAGCUGCUAAGACAGCGAAAAUCAGCUGUCUAGCAGCUUGGAAACCUUUCCCCUGGGUGAAGAGGGAGGUAGAGCUUCCCCAAAAGCACCAGGAAUGAUCCUGGAGGCUUGAAGGGAAGAGCUACCUUGGUAACCCAAAGAGCUCCGGAUCCAGGAUGCCUCUGUCUUUUUUGGCAGAGCAAAACGCUGAGAUCACAUCUGCAAUCAAUAUUGAGUUUAAAUGGAUUUUUGACUUAACCAGACAGAGCAAUGUCAGGAGGCAAGUUAGAUGUAAGUACCAGACUUCAACCCCAUGUGUGGAUUCCGUUUGAGAAGAAAGGAAAUGGUGUCUGAGUAUAACGGGCGUGAAAGUCAAAGAGGUAGGUAUGGUGAAUUGAAGAUGCCUCCACAAAAGCAGAGCUGAUGACCUCAGCAAAGACUAAGGAACCUGUCUGGAUAGGAAGAAGAUGGAAGGUCACCCACCUGCUCUGGACCACUGCUGCUCACUAGCAAACUGCAGGACAGUAAUUUAGAUCUAAGAAAGUUGUAAACAGAUUAAGAGUCCAGAUAAAUUUUGUCUGGGUACAUUUUUUGUGCAAUAACCAUUAAAAAUCAACCAUGUUCAUUAUUUAUCUAUUUUUGACACACUG